GCGACUCAUCCUAAGGCUGAGAAUGCAUCGGGCAGGUGGGCCCUGCCCCACCAAGACAUACAUCUUUGGGCAUCAUCAGACAAUCAGAAAGCAGAAUGAAGCAAUGACUGGGCACAUCAAUGUGGAUUCCCCAAGAACUUCAGCGUGUUCUCUGCACGGCCCAAAUUGUUUAUAUGAUCCUGGCAACGGGACAGGCAAAGCCGAAUGUGGACCCCACCUGAGCACCCGUGGGGAAUGUGUCCAUUAUGGUC
rnacentral:lncRNA from 1 species